UUUUUUUUUUUUGCAGAUGCCCGUGAUGCCGCCCCCCACCACGAUGCCGCCCCGGGCAACCGCCCGUGUCGCCCGUAUCUAAAACCGCUACUGACUGGAGCUGUCAGCCACAGGCAGUCGAACUAUAACAAAGUGAAAAUGCAAAGGAUACUGGACUUUGUGAAAUUUCAGCUGUAGCACUGUCACACUUUCUCUGUAUGAACUUCAGACAACAACAGUGUUGGCAGGAGUUGCCGCGGUGUUAUCCAUGGAUGAUGAACAAGGAUCACUCCGAUAUGGAAGGAAUGGGCGGGAAGAGAUCAUGGAAAACUAUGGAAACUUGAGGAAAGUGUGAGAGGAGCCAAAAA